UACAGAGGUCUCAAGCGUUGUUCGGAUUCAUUGGGCGUAAAGGGUGCGUAGGCGGCGCGGUAAGUCGGGUGUGAAAUCUCGGGGCUUAACUCCGAAACUGCAUUCGAUACUGCUGUGCUUGAGGACUGGAGAGGAGACUGGAAUUUACGGUGUAGCGGUGAAAUGCGUAGAUAUCAGGAGGAACACCGGUGGCGAAGGCGGCUACCUGGACAGAAACUGACGCUGAGGCGCGAAAGCUAGGGGAGCAAACAGG
rnacentral:rRNA from 1 species